rnacentral:rRNA from 1 species
AGGGUCCCUCGGGGCCCAACCUCCCACCCGUGUAUACCGUACCUUGUUGCUUCGGCGAGCCCGCCCCCUUUUUCUUAGGGGGGCACAGCGCUCGCCGGAGACACCAACGUGAACACUGUCUGAAGUUUUGUCGUCUGAGUCGAUUGUAUCGCAAUCAGUUAAAACUUUCAACAAUGGAUCUCUUGGUUCCGGCAUCGAUGAAGAACGCAGCGAAAUGCGAUAAUUAAUGUGAAUUGCAGAAUUCAGUGAAUCAUCGAGUCUUUGAACGCACAUUGCACCCCCUGGUAUUCCGGGGGGUAUGCCUGUCCGAGCGUCAUUGCUGCCCUCAAGCACGGCUUGUGUGUUGGGUCGUCGUCCCCCCCGGGGGACGGGCCCGAAAGGCAGCGGCGGCACCGCGUCCGGUCCUCGAGCGUAUGGGGCUUUGUCACACCGCUCUUGUAGGCCCGGCCGGCUGCUGGCCGACGCUGAAAAGCAACCAACUAUUUCUCCAGGUUGACCUCGGAUCAGGUAGGGAUACCCGCUGAACUUAAGCAUAUCAAUAAGCGGAGGAAAAGAA